GGAAGGAUCAUUACCGAGUGAGGGCCCUCUGGGUCCAACCUCCCACCCGUGUUUAUUUUACCUUGUUGCUUCGGCGGGCCCGCCUUAACUGGCCGCCGGGGGGCUUACGCCCCCGGGCCCGCGCCCGCCGAAGACACCCUCGAACUCUGUCUGAAGAUUGUAGUCUGAGUGAAAAUAUAAAUUAUUUAAAACUUUCAACAACGGAUCUCUUGGUUCCGGCAUCGAUGAAGAACGCAGCGAAAUGCGAUACGUAAUGUGAAUUGCAAAUUCAGUGAAUCAUCGAGUCUUUGAACGCACAUUGCGCCCCCUGGUAUUCCGGGGGGCAUGCCUGUCCGAGCGUCAUUGCUGCCCUCAAGCACGGCUUGUGUGUUGGGCCCCGUCCUCCGAUCCCGGGGGACGGGCCCGAAAGGCAGCGGCGGCACCGCGUCCGGUCCUCGAGCGUAUGGGGCUUUGUCACCCGCUCUGUAGGCCCGGCCGGCGCUUGCCGAUCAACCCAAAUUUUUAUCCAGGUUGACC
rnacentral:rRNA from 1 species